AGUGGCGGACGGGUGAGUAACGCGUGAGAAUCUGCCUUGGGGUCGGGGACAACCACUGGAAACGGUGGCUAAUACCGGAUAAGCCGAUUGGUGAAAGAUUUAUUGCCCGAAGAGGAGCUCGCGUCUGAUUAGCUAGUUGGUGAGGUAAGAGCUCACCAAGGCAGCGAUCAGUAGCUGGUCUGAGAGGACGAUCAGCCACACUGGGACUGAGACACGGCCCAGACUCCUACGGGAGGCAGCAUUGGGGAAUUUUCCGCAAUGGGCGAAAGCCUGACGGAGCAAGACCGCGUGAGGGAGGAAGGCUCUUGGGUUGUAAACCUCUUUUCUCAGGGAAGAAGCUCUGACGGUACCUGAGGAAUCAGCCUCGGCUAACUCCGUGCCAGCAGCCGCGGUAAUACGGAGGAGGCAAGCGUUAUCCGGAAUUAUUGGGCGUAAAGCGUCCGCAGGUGGCGAUUCAAGUCUGCUGUCAAAGCACGGGGCUUAACUCCGUAAAGGCAGUGGAAACUGAAUAGCUAGAGUGCCGUAGGGGUAGAGGGAAUUCCCGGUGUAGCGGUGAAAUGCGUAGAGAUCGGGAAGAACAUCGGUGGCGAAAGCGCUCUACUGGACGGCAACUGACACUCAGGGACGAAAGCUAGGGGAGCGAAUGGGAUUAGAUACCCC
rnacentral:rRNA from 1 species